rnacentral:rRNA from 1 species
UAGGGAAUCUUGCGCAAUGGGCGAAAGCCUGACGCAGCGACGCCGCGUGCGGGAUGACGGCCUUCGGGUUGUAAACCGCUUUCAGUAGGGACGAAGCGAAAGUGACGGUACCUACAGAAGAAGCCCCGGCCAACUACGUGCCAGCAGCCGCGGUAAUACGUAGGGGGCGAGCGUUGUCCGGAAUCAUUGGGCGUAAAGAGCUCGUAGGCGGUUGCGAAAGUCAGGUGUGAAAACCCAGGGCUCAACCCUGGGACUGCAUUUGAUACUUCGUUGACUAGAGUCCGGUAGAGGAAGGCGGAAUUCCUGGUGUAGCGGUGGAAUGCACAGAUAUCAGGAGGAACACCGGUGGCGAAGGCGGCCUUCUGGGCCGGUACUGACGCUGAGGAGCGAAAGCUAGGGGAG